CGGACGGGUGGAGUAACGACGUGGUAACGUACGCUACUACAGGGAGGUAACACCUCGAGAACAGGUGCUAAUACCGCAUAAGCGCACAGGGCCGCAUGGCCCGGUGUGAAAAACUCCGGUGGUGUAAGAUGGACCCGCGUCUGAUUAGCUUGUUGGCGGGGUAGGGGCCCACCAAGGCGACGAUCAGUAGCCGGCCUGAGAGGGUGGACGGCCACAUUGGGACUGAGACACGGCCCAAACUCCUACGGAAGGCAGCAG
rnacentral:rRNA from 1 species